rnacentral:tRNA from 1 species
GGGGAUUUAGCUCAGCGGCAUAAGCACCUGCCUUGCAAGCAGGUGGUCGUGAGUUCGAUCCCUGGUACCCA